rnacentral:rRNA from 1 species
UGCCUACGGGAGGCAGCAGUGAGGAAUAUUGGUCAAUGGGCGCGAGCCUGAACCAGCCAAGUCGCGUGAGGGAAGACGGUCCUAUGGAUUGUAAACCUCUUUUGUCGGGGAGCAAAAGACGCCACGCGUGGCGUUCCGAGAGUACCCGAAGAAAAAGCAUCGGCUAACUCCGUGCCAGCAGCCGUGGUAAUACGGAGGAUGCGAGCGUUAUCCGGAUUUAUUGGGUUUAAAGGGUGCGUAGGCGGAAGGUUAAGUCAGCGGUCAAAUGUCGGUGCUCAACACCGGCCUGCCGUUGAAACUGGUCU